rnacentral:rRNA from 1 species
GAUGAACGCUAGCGGCAGGCCUAAUACAUGCAAGUCGAACGAUAGAAGAGGGCUUGCUCUCUUCGAAAGUGGCGCACGGGUGCGUAACGCGUAUGCAACCUACCUUAAUCAGGAGGAUAGCCCGAAGAAAUUCGGAUUAACACCGCAUAAAAUCACAGUACAGCAUUGUACAAUGAUCAAAUAUUUAUAGGAUUAAGAUGGGCAUGCGUGACAUUAGCUAGUUGGCGGGGUAACGGCCCACCAAGGCGACGAUGUCUAGGGGAUCUGAGAGGAUGACCCCCCACACUGGUGCUGAGACACGUACCAGACUCCUACGGGAUGCAGCAGUAAGGAAUAUUGGUCAAUGGAGGCAACUCUGAACCAGCCAUGCCGCGUGCAGGAAGACGGCCCUCUGGGUUGUAAACUGCUUUUAUUCGGGAAUAAACCUCAUUAUGUAUAGUGAGCUGAAUGUACCGAAGGAAUAAGGAUCGGCUAACUCCGUGCCAGCAGCCGCCGUAA